rnacentral:lncRNA from 1 species
UCCCUUCGGGUCUGGGGUUCAUUGCCACCAUAUCCAUGAGCUUUUCUUCCCCCCCCCCCUUUUUUUUUUACCAGCAUAUACCUAUAUUAUUGACAACAUGUUCAUAAUCUCCUACCAUUAUGAAGUAACGUAUUUGAUGAGAAGAGAGCACUUGUCUUACAACAAAGCAAUGUAUUUGAUGAAAAGAGAGAGAUCUACCGCUCUAUUCGAUUAACGGUAGUUAGGAUAAAGGGAGUAGCAUUGAGAGUAAGAAUGGUUUUGGCUUUCAUAUUUGUUUUUUUUUUUUUGUUUAUACAGAUGAAUUGUUUUAUGCGAGCUGAUAUGCAGUCCAGAGGUAUAAAGCAUCAAGCUAUUUUAAAGAUGGAGGCAAAUAGGUGGUCCAUUUAAAAACAAUUGAAACUAACGAUCAAAAUGUUUUCAUAAUAGAGUUAUUAUUUUUAAUUUUCAAAUUUUAUUAUUUUUUCAUAUUCAUGAUCCCCAUGUUAAAAUUAAAUAUUCUCUACAAAUUAGGAUCUAACUUUGUUUCAAAAAUAAAUUUAUUAAGGACCUAAUUCUACGUGUGAGGACUUACUAAUUCCGGCUCGGCUCGGCUAUGAUUAUGAAAAGAGGUAAUAAACAAGAGAGAGAAAAGAAUUGGGCUCGGCUCGGCUUAUAUAGGCUUGGCUUGGCUUUUUAUCAGCUCGACUCGGCUUAAUUUGCCUUGGCUCGGCUUAAACAAUGACGGCUCGACUUAGUUAGACUUAGCUAGGCUUUUAUCAGCUCAGCUCGAUAAAAAGCAGUUUAAAUUUCAUUAAAGCAAGCCGAAAUGAGCUGAGUUAAGCCAAUAAAAGCUGAGCCGCACCGUUUUCAGCCGAGCCGAGCCGAAAAGUUUCUAGCCGAGCUGAGCCAUGUGUAGCCGAGCCGAGCCAAACUGCAUGAACCAACGAAAAUUUCACACGCCGAAUUGAAUGAGCCGAGAAUCCCCCUCUUUUAAGAUCAUCUACCGCUCUCCUCUUUCUUUCAUCUCUUCUUCCCCACUCACAAAAUCUCUCCAUCUCCCAAAAUCUCUGUCUCCCUUCUCUUUCAAUUUAAAUCUCUCCAUCUCCCUUCUCUUUCAAUUUUCUGGACUCUUCCCCCUCUUAUACUACUCUGGCAAAGUCCAACGACCCACACUAAUCUCUCAUCCUAACUUUCAUUCUCACCGUCCCUCUAUAGAUCCACACAUUUUGCAAACCAUCUUUCUCUCUCUUACCACAAACCAUUUCUUUCUCAACAAUCACCGCUCAUGGAGGACUGAAGACCAUUUUUGCUGAAAGGCUGCUAUAUAGGGCAGUAAAACUUACUUUGCAAGCUGC